rnacentral:rRNA from 1 species
GCACGGACCAAGGAGUCUAACAUGUGCGCAAGUCAUUGGGUCUUGAAUAGGCCCAAAGGCGUAAUGAAAGUAAAGGCCGGUUCCGCCGGCUGCCUUGGGAUCCCGCGCACCUCGCGUGCGCGGGCGCACCAAGGGCCCGUCCCGAUCGCCUCGUCGACGGGGCGGAGCAAGAGCGUACACGUUGGGACCCGAAAGAUGGUGAACUAUGCCUGGGCAGGACGAAGCCAGAGGAAACUCUGGUGGAGGUCCGCAGCGAUUCUGACGUGCAAAUCGAUCGUCAGACCUGGGUAGGGGCGAAAGACUAAUCGAACCAUCUAGUAGCUGGUUCCCUCCGAAGUUUCCCUCAGGAUAGCUGGCACUCGGAGGAUGCAGUCUCAUCCGGUAAAGCGAAUGAUUAGAGGCCUUGGGGUCGAAAAGACCUCAACCUAUUCUCAAACUUUAAAUGGGUGAGAAGUCCGGUUUGCUCGACUGAAGCCCGGACGGCAACUUGGAUGUGAGUGCCAAGUGGGCCACUUUUGGUAAGCAGAACUGGCGCUGUGGGAUGAACCAAACGCCGGGUUAAGGGGCCCGAUGCAAGACGCUCAUGAGAUCCCAUGAAAGGUGUUGGUUGCUAUAGACAGCAGGACGGUGGCCAUGGAAGUCGGAAUCCGCUAAGGAGUGUGUAACAACUCACCUGCCGAAGCAACUAGCCCUGAAAAUGGAUGGCGCUUCAGCGUCGACCCCAUACCCGGCCGCCGCGGCCGAAAAGCCUUUGUGUUUUAAGCCGCGGUGAGUAGGAGGGGCGCAGAGACGAGCGUCGAAGGUGCCGGGCGUAAGCCCGCCUGGAGCCGUCUCUGGCGCAGAUCUUGGUGGUAGUAGCAAAUACUCAAGUGAGAACCUUGAGGACUGAGGUGGAGAAGGGUUCCAUGUGAACAGCAGUUGAACAUGGGUCAGUCGGUCCUAAGGGAUAGGAGAAAUCCGUUCCGAGGCGGGACCUCUCUAAAGCAAGUCCCGCUUAUGACCGAAAGGGAAUCGGGUUAAUAUUCCCGAACCCGGACACGGAGAUCGUCCCCUUCGGGGGUACAUUGCGGUAACGCAAACGAGCUCGGAGACGUCGACGGGAGUCCCGGGAAGAGUUGUCUUUUCUUUGUAAGGAUUCGACUCCCUGGAAUCGGCUCGCCCGGAGAUAGGGAUGGUGUUUCCGUAAAGCACCGCGCCUCUUGCGGUGUCCGGAGCGCUCCCGUCGGCCCUUGAAAAUCCGAGUAAGAGAUAGUGAUUUUCGUGCCGGACCGUACCCAUAUCCGCAG